GAGGUGGUAGUUCAGUGGUAGAAUUCUUGCCUUCCAUGCGGGAGACCCGGGUUCAAUUCCCGGCCAGUGCA
rnacentral:tRNA from 1 species